AUGAUCAUCUUGGCCUGGAACUGCCGAGGGUUGGGGUUGGACUCGGCAGUUGGCGAACUUCGGGACCUGAUUAGGUCAUACAACCCAGCGGUGGUGUUUUUAUCGGAAACCAAAAAGAGGACGGGAGCGAUGGAUAGGCUUAAGUGGAGUUUGGGGUUUAGCAAAGGUGUUGCGGUGGACUGCAAGGGCAAGAGUGGCGGCCGGCCUUGCUCUCUGGUGGAGAGACCAGGUCGACGUCACCGUUAG
rnacentral:rRNA from 1 species